CCCUUAGAUGUCCUGGGCUGCACGCGCGCUACACUGAUGUGUCCAGUAAGCACCUAACCUCUUCCGAAGGGAACGGGUAACCUUAGCAAAGCACAUCGUGAUGGGGAUAGAUUAUUGCAAUUAUUAGUCUUGAACGAGGAAUUCCUAGUAAGCACAAGUCAUCAGCUUGUGUUGAUUACGUCCCUGCCCUUUGUACACACCGCCCGUCGCACCUACCGAUUGGAUGGUCCGGUGAAGCCUCGGGAUUGUGGUUCUUGCCGCUUUAUUGUGGCGUGACCGCGAGAACUUGUCUAAACCUUAUCAUCUAGAGGAAGGUGAAGUCGUAACA
rnacentral:rRNA from 1 species